GUCGAGCAAAUCGACUCCAGGACUUAUUUUUUGAUGCGGUUUUUCGGAUGCGGUAUUUCAGGAUGCGGUAUUUCGGCCAGAUGUUAAAUGUCGGUGGUAUUUCAGGAUGCGGUAUUUCGACCAGAUGUAAAAUGUUGAAAAAUACAGUCUGUCUCAAAACCAGGCGAAACGAAUCGACUCGAAGGUGAGCGAGACGACUGGAAGAUAUCGAUAUUUUCGCUGUUAUUUCAGCUCGCCGGUUUCGAAUACGCGAGUCACAGUGGAAACGAAUUUAUAUCACUAUUCUGAGAAGACAAAGCGGAAGUUAUUGAGUCAAUGGAAAAACAUUCAUAUGGUCACUCAUCCUAGAUGAAACAGCUGUUAAAUGCAUCCCCACUACCACCACCACAACCGAAAAAAAAAUCAAACAGUACCGUCAUA
rnacentral:lncRNA from 1 species